rnacentral:rRNA from 1 species
AUUGAACGCUGGCGGAAUGCUUUACACAUGCAAGUCGAACGAUGAACCUUAGCUUGCUAAGGGGAUUAGUGGCGAACGGGUGAGUAAUGUAUCGGAACGUAUCCAAUAAUGGGGGAUGACUAGUCGAAAGAUUAGCUAAUACCGCAUACGUCCUACGGGAGAAAGCUAGGGACCUUCGGGCCUGGCGUUAAUGGAGCGGCCGAUAUCUGAUUAGCUAGUUGGUGGGGUAAAGGCUCACCAAGGCGACGAUCAGUAGCUGGUCUGAGAGGACGACCAGCCACACUGGAACUGAGACACGGUCCAGACUCCUACGGGAGGCGGCAGUGGGGAAUUUUGGACAAUGGGCGAAAGCCUGAUCCAGCCAUUCCGCGUGAGUGAAGAAGGCCUUCGGGUUGUAAAGCUCUUCCGCAAGGGAAGAAAACUUAAGCUCUAACAUAGCUUGAGGUUGACGGUACCUUGAUAAGAAGCACCGGCUAACUACGUGCCAGCCGCCGCAGUAA